rnacentral:rRNA from 1 species
GGGUUGUGAGGUUAAGCGACUAAGCGUACACGGUGGAUGCCCUGGCAGUCAGAGGCGAUGAAGGACGUGCUAAUCUGCGAAAAGCGUCGGUAAGGUGAUAUGAACCGUUAUAGCCGGCGAUGUCCGAAUGGGGAAACCCAGUGCAAUUCGUUGCACUAUCGUUAACUGAAUACAUAGGUUAACGAGGCGAACCGGGGGAACUGAAACAUCUAAGUACCCCGAGGAAAAGAAAUCAACCGAGAUUCCCCCAGUAGCGGCGAGCGAACGGGGAGCAGCCCAGAGUCUGAAUCAGCUUGUGUGUUAGUGGAACGGUCUGGAAAGUCCGACGGUACAGGGUGAUAGUCCCGUACACCAAAAUGCACAGGUUGUGAACUCGAAGAGUAGGGCGGGACACGUGGUAUCCUGUCUGAAUAUGGGGGGACCAUCCUCCAAGGCUAAAUACUCCUGACUGACCGAUAGUGAACCAGUACCGUGAGGGAAAGGCGAAAAGAACCCCGGCGAGGGGAGUGAAAAAGAACCUGAAACCGUGUACGUACAAGCAGUGGGAGCACCUUCGGGUGUGACUGCGUACCUUUUGUAUAAUGGGUCAGCGACUUAUAUUCUGUAGCAAGGUUAACCGUAUAGGGGAGCCGCAGGGAAACCGAGUCUUAACUGGGCGUUAAGUUGCAGGGUAUAGACCCGAAACCCGGUGAUCUAGCCAUGGGCAGGUUGAAGGUUGGGUAACACUAACUGGAGGACCGAACCGACUAAUGUUGAAAAAUUAGCGGAUGACUUGUGGCUGGGGGUGAAAGGCCAAUCAAACCGGGAGAUAGCUGGUUCUCCCCGAAAGCUAUUUAGGUAGCGCCUCGUGAACUCAUCUUCGGGGGUAGAGCACUGUUUCGGCUAGGGGGUCAUCCCGACUUACCAACCCGAUGCAAACUACGAAUACCGAAGAAUGUUAUCACGGGAGACACACGGCGGGUGCUAACGUCCGUCGUGAAGAGGGAAACAACCCAGACCGCCAGCUAAGGUCCCAAAGUCAUGGUUAAGUGGGAAACGAUGUGGGAAGGCACAGACAGCCAGGAUGUUGGCUUAGAAGCAGCCAUCAUUUAAAGAAAGCGUAAUAGCUCACUGGUCGAGUCGGCCUGCGCGGAAGAUGUAACGGGGCUAAACCAUGCACCGAAGCUGCGGCAGCGACACUAUGUGUUGUUGGGUAGGGGAGCGUUCUGUAAGCCUGCGAAGGUGACCUGUGAGGGUUGCUGGAGGUAUCAGAAGUGCGAAUGCUGACAUAAGUAACGAUAAAGCGGGUGAAAAGCCCGCUCGCCGGAAGACCAAGGGUUCCUGUCCAACGUUAAUCGGGGCAGGGUGAGUCGACCCCUAAGGCGAGGCCGAAAGGCGUAGUCGAUGGGAAACAGGUUAAUAUUCCUGUACUUGGUGUUACUGCGAAGGGGGGACGGAGAAGGCUAUGUUAGCCGGGCGACGGUUGUCCCGGUUUAAGCAUGUAGGCUGGUUGUCCAGGCAAAUCCGGAUAAUCAAGGCUGAGGUGUGAUGACGAGGUACUACGGUGCUGAAGUAACAAAUGCCCUGCUUCCAGGAAAAGCCUCUAAGCAUCAGGUAACAUCAAAUCGUACCCCAAACCGACACAGGUGGUCAGGUAGAGAAUACCAAGGCGCUUGAGAGAACUCGGGUGAAGGAACUAGGCAAAAUGGUGCCGUAACUUCGGGAGAAGGCACGCUGGUGUGUAGGUGAAGUCCCUGCGGAUGGAGCUGAGACCAGUCGAAGAUACCAGCUGGCUGCAACUGUUUAUUAAAAACACAGCACUGUGCAAACACGAAAGUGGACGUAUACGGUGUGACGCCUGCCCGGUGCCGGAAGGUUAAUUGAUGGGGUUAUCCGUAAGGAGAAGCUCUUGAUCGAAGCCCCGGUAAACGGCGGCCGUAACUAUAACGGUCCUAAGGUAGCGAAAUUCCUUGUCGGGUAAGUUCCGACCUGCACGAAUGGCGUAAUGAUGGCCAGGCUGUCUCCACCCGAGACUCAGUGAAAUUGAACUCGCUGUGAAGAUGCAGUGUACCCGCGGCAAGACGGAAAGACCCCGUGAACCUUUACUAUAGCUUGACACUGAACAUUGAGCCUUGAUGUGUAGGAUAGGUGGGAGGCUUUGAAGCGUGGACGCCAGUCUGCGUGGAGCCAACCUUGAAAUACCACCCUUUAAUGUUUGAUGUUCUAACGUUGGCCCCUGACCGGGGUUGCGGACAGUGUCUGGUGGGUAGUUUGACUGGGGCGGUCUCCUCCCAAAGCGUAACGGAGGAGCACGAAGGUUAGCUAAUCCUGGUCGGACAUCAGGAGGUUAGUGCAAUGGCAUAAGCUAGCUUGACUGCGAGCGUGACGGCGCGAGCAGGUGCGAAAGCAGGUCAUAGUGAUCCGGUGGUUCUGAAUGGAAGGGCCAUCGCUCAACGGAUAAAAGGUACUCCGGGGAUAACAGGCUGAUACCGCCCAAGAGUUCAUAUCGACGGCGGUGUUUGGCACCUCGAUGUCGGCUCAUCACAUCCUGGGGCUGAAGUAGGUCCCAAGGGUAUGGCUGUUCGCCAUUUAAAGUGGUACGCGAGCUGGGUUUAGAACGUCGUGAGACAGUUCGGUCCCUAUCUGCCGUGGGCGCUGGAGAAUUGAGGGGGGCUGCUCCUAGUACGAGAGGACCGGAGUGGACGCAUCACUGGUGUUCGGGUUGUCAUGCCAAUGGCACUGCCCGGUAGCUAAAUGCGGAAGAGAUAAGUGCUGAAAGCAUCUAAGCACGAAACUUGCCCCGAGAUGAGUUCUCCCUGAGACUUUAAGUCUCCUGAAGGAACGUUAAAGACGAUGACGUUGAUAGGCCGGGUGUGUAAGCGCAGCGAUGCGUUGAGCUAACCGGUACUAAUGAACCGUGAGGCUUAACCUUACAACGCCGAAG